ACGGAAUGCGUUUGGAAUACGGAUAGAAAGCGGCCAGCGUAUAACGGCAAGUUGACAAUGAAUUUUCGCAAGUUCAAGGGUGUGACUCAUGCUGUCUCCCUCUCUCGGCCGCCAUGAUUACUUUCGCUUGAUAAAGAACACUUAACCCUCGCCAGUUUCACCCCCUGCAGAGCUCCUGCGCAGGCCCGCUCUCCCACUCACCCACGUCCCCAAUUCAGAAGAGUUUGGGUGAUCGUGCUGCAAGCCACUCGUACGGUCCUAAUCGUAGUCGGAGGAAUAGGCCAAACAUCUGGCUAGUGACUGGUAUAUUUCUGUUUAUCGAUGACUCAGGUUCCAUUUCGAUUUUAGGUGAUUACUCUGGGAGACAGAAAUCUGAUAUCAGCAGCUGGCUUUAAUGUAUAGAGCGCAGUGCAACACUGCUUCCUGAUAAUGCAGUCUGUAGCCCCACCCCUUCGUUAUCGCUCGCAUUUAUCGCACUCAAUUAUUAGUGCAGGCUUUUCUGCUUUGUUGCUGUCGCUGAUUCUGCUUGCUUCCUCUACCGUUCAAAAUAAAUGCUCUUUAUCGGAGUUAAAAUAAUAGAAGUACAGAAAAUAUAUUGAGCAGGCGAUGCCGCGUCACCAGCGUAGAUUGAGUCAAGUCUGUUUUACCUCUUAAUGCGAAUGAACACUCGAGCAUUUUUAGUAUGCGCGCCACGUUUUUGCCUUUUUCGUAUGCGUGUGUAACUUCCUGUCGACUCUCUUGUGCGCGUUUUCACUCCCUUGUGCUUUGUUUGUAGACUGCCGACUUUUUCUCCCAGUGUCGUGGGUCCCAUUAGAUUAGAAACCAAUUUUUACAAAAUAAGGUUGACCAAAGAUUCGCUGCCUGCAUCAUCAUUCUACUCUUUCUUUUCUUAAUUUCCCAUUCUUGCACUCGGUAUCAAUUUCAUUAUACUACUAGUCUCGUAUCCGUCUUUUGUUGAUUUUCUUUAUUUCGCAUUUCCCAAGUUACCUAAUAUUAAUCUCAAUUAGUAGUUUAAAUCUUACAAAUCGUAGUUAAUAUCCACUUUUACCCUCCCGAUUAAUCAGCAGCUUUGGGCCUAGCCGGAAUUAUUUUAAGACUUCGAAUUUUAUAGGCUUAUCAAAGACGUCUUUGUUUUAUUUAUUUUUUUUUUUUUUUUGCAAAACCGGCUUUUAAAGACAGGAUCCGUUUUAUGUUUGUGCAAGCACAUGCUUUUAAAAAUUUCCUUUAUAGGAGAUUGCAAACGUUUUUUGGCAGUUGUGGAGUUUUUGCGAUCGAUGCGGCGCGCACCUCUGUUUUUGGUAUAGCUGUCAUAAAACCGGCUUUGUGCGACUAUUCUUCUCUGCUCUCCGCCUUUCUUUCUCUCAGUCGACGCGCUUCUCGCUCAAUGGAAACUUCUCGAUGCCUACAGCUUAAGAGGCAUUUCGAUGUGUCACCUUUUGGCAGGCGGCAAAAACCUUUUGGACGGCAGCCCACGUAGUGACGAAGCGCACAUGGAGAGUGUGCGAAGGCAACUAGUAUAAAUAUAAAUACUACUAUAAAUGAAAAUCUACUGUCCGACCGAAAGGUAUCGCAAAGACUAAAAGGGUUGCUUACCAAGACUUUAAAAAUCAAUUGGUUUGGGAGAAAGAGCGGAAGAUAUGACGCUAAGUGUAGCUCUCACAAAGACACUCGAGAAAACAAAAUUUCUCUAUGAGGCAUUUUACCUGUCCGAGAAACCGGCCCUGAGUCCCUGUCAGAGCUAGAUGUGGAAGCCAAUGUGGAGGCAGCCGAGAAAACAAAAUUUUCUUAGCAGGAAAGAAAGGUGAUUUGCGGUAAACAUCAUAGCGCAUCACAGUGUUAACUUAAAAGAAACAAGGUUUGUCUUUGGAAAAAACAAGCUGCAAAAAAAUUAUGUAAACCACAAUUUGGCAAUAGUUCAUGACUUCAUAACUUAAAUCUAUCCCAUC